AUUGAACGCUGGCGGCAGGCCUAACACAUGCAAGUCGAGCGGAUGAAGGGAGCUUGCUCCUGGAUUCAGCGGCGGACGGGUGAGUAAUGCAUAGGAAUCUGCCUGGUAGUGGGGGAUAACGUCCGGAAACGGGCGCUAAUACCGCAUACGUCCUGAGGGAGAAAGUGGGGGAUCUUCGGACCUCACGCUAUCAGAUGAGCCUAGGUCGGAUUAGCUAGUUGGUGGGGUAAAGGCCUACCAAGGCGACGAUCCGUAACUGGUCUGAGAGGAUGAUCAGUCACACUGGAACUGAGACACGGUCCAGACUCCUACGGGAGGCAGCAGUAGGGAAUAUUGGACAAUGGGCGAAAGCCUGAUCCAGCCAUGCCGCGUGUGUGAAGAAGGUCUUCGGAUUGUAAAGCACUUUAAGUUGGGAGGAAGGGCAGUAAGUUAAUACCUUGCUGUUUUGACGUUACCAACAGAAUAAGCACCGGCUAACUUCGUG
rnacentral:rRNA from 1 species